rnacentral:rRNA from 1 species
CAGUCGCCGCGGUAAUACAGAGGGUGCGAGCGUUAAUCGGAUUUACUGGGCGUAAAGCGUGCGUAGGCGGCUAAUUGAGUCGGAUGUGAAAUCCCCGAGCUUAACUUGGGAAUUGCAUUCGAUACUGGUUAGCUAGAGUGUGGGAGAGGAUGGUAGAAUUCCAGGUGUAGCGGUGAAAUGCGUAGAGAUCUGGAGGAAUACCGAUGGCGAAGGCAGCCAUCUGGCCUAACACUGACGCUGAGGUACGAAAGCAUGGGGAGCAAACAGGAUUAGAUACCCGCGUAGUCCCUGUCUCUUAUAA